AGAGUAUAUAGUAGGCCAUACAUGAGGCAUUUGAGAAAAAUUGUUUUUGCUGCCACACAAGAAAGCAAUUUAGAGAAGCCAUGGGACAGGGGCCAACGAAAUAAAAGAAAAUCUGACAAUUUUAAUGAAAAAUCUUGCAGAUGAAGUGGAGGAUGAGGAGAAGGGAGUGCCACCGGUGGUGGGGGUAGUAUUUUUGUGACAAGCAUGUGACCCAAUUAUGUGCAAUCAUGGCAACAAGUUAGAGGAAUCAUAACAACAUUUCGCAUUCAGUGGGGAUCUGGACUUGGAUCUGGAUCUGGUGCACAAAAGGCGAAGUGUCACCGCCACAAGACACGAGCCGGCUUUCCCCUACUCCUCCCCAUUCACCCCGGAUCACCCAGUCUCGCAACAAUUUCAAUUUCAAUGCGCCUGACAGCGCCAGUCCGUCAUCAGCUACUCCAUUGCGACCCACUCCUCCACGAUUUUAUCGCCCGAAAAUCCCCGGCUCCUAGCCGAGCAACACAAAUCAGCAGAAGAAGACAACGUGGAUGAUGGCGAUGUAAGGAUGAUGACGACAAUCAGCGGCAAACAAACAAGUCAAUGUUCAAGGAGGGGGUGUACACUGGGAGAAAAAGUUGCGUUUUAUGUGGCAAAGCUUUUGACCAAGCAAUUUCCCAGACAUUUUAAGAAACGAAACGUUUAGUGACGAAUGUGAACUCAAAAAAUUUUCGCAAAACUUUCAACGUAAGACUUUGUAAGUCUCCCAAAAAUUCGCGUACGAAUUCGAAAUACUUUUAUUGGAUGUAUAUUCAAGUGCUGGGAAAUUUGCUGCCCAUUGUGUAUGUCCUAGAAGCCAAGGGGCUUUUGUCCCAGCAAUUGGCCACAAUUGAAU
ensembl:ncRNA lncRNA:CR45580 long non-coding RNA:CR45580